rnacentral:rRNA from 1 species
CAUGCAAGUCGAGGGGCAGCAUGAUUGAAGCUUGCUUCAAUUGAUGGCGACCGGCGCACGGGUGAGUAACGCGUAUCCAACCUUCCGUACACUCAGGGAUAGCCUUUCGAAAGAAAGAUUAAUACCCGAUGGUAUGAUGAGAUUGCAUGAUAGCAUCAUUAAAGAUUUAUCGGUGUACGAUGGGGAUGCGUUCCAUUAGGUAGUAGGCGGGGUAACGGCCCACCUAGCCGACGAUGGAUAGGGGUUCUGAGAGGAAGGUCCCCCACAUUGGAACUGAGACACGGUCCAAACUCCUACGGGAGGCAGCAGUGAGGAAUAUUGGUCAAUGGACGAGAGUCUGAACCAGCCAAGUAGCGUGAAGGAUGAAGGUCCUACGGAUUGUAAACUUCUUUUAUAAGGGAAUAAAACCUCCCACGUGUGGGAGCUUGUAUGUACCUUAUGAAUAAGCAUCGGCUAACUCCGUGCCAGCAGCCGCGGUAAUACGGAGGAUGCGAGCGUUAUCCGGAUUUAUUGGGUUUAAAGGGAGCGCAGACGGGUCGUUAAGUCAGCUGUGAAAGUUUGGGGCUCAACCUUAAAAUUGCAGUUGAUACUGGCGUCCUUGAGUGCGGUUGAGGUGUGCGGAAUUCGUGGUGUAGCGGUGAAAUGCUUAGAUAUCACGAAGAACUCCGAUUGCGAAGGCAGCACACUAAGCCGUAACUGACGUUCAUGCUCGAAAGUGUGGGUAUCAAACAGGAUUAGAUACCCUGGUAGUCCACACGGUAAACGAUGGAUACUCGCUGUUGGCGAUAUACAGUCAGCGGCUUAGCGAAAGCGUUAAGUAUCCCACCUGGGGAGUACGCCGGCAACGGUGAAACUCAAAGGAAUUGACGGGGGCCC